GAAAAUUGUUUUAUAAUUCUCUGUAUCUUCAUCGUUGUCUUGAGCGUUUCACCAAGCUGUUACCAAAAGCACAUCCGCUUUCUCUUUCUCUUCCUUUUGAGGUUCAAUUCAACUAUGGUGGGAGUGUGCACCCUCAGCAAUUCAUCAAGUUGAAGCUUUUUUAGUUCCGAUUCAUCUGGGUCUCGUGAUUGCUUGAUGCUGAUAUAGUACUUUAGGGUUUCAUAUUUAGAAUCCCCAUAGAAGUUUUGUACUCUCUCUAUGUUCUCUUUUGCAAUGAAAUGCUUCUGGGUGGCUUUGUAAUUUUUCCCUUUUCUUGUUUUGUGUUUUUGUGGUCAAAGUUCAUACCUUUGGCCGAUUCCCCUAAAUAGUGUACAAUCAACAAUUAUCAUGGCGUUGCUAUAGUGUUCUUUUUUUUU